rnacentral:rRNA from 1 species
GAUGAACGCUGGCGGCGUGCCUAAUACAUGCAAGUCGAGCGAACGGACGAGAAGCUUGCUUCUCUGAUGUUAGCGGCGGACGGGUGAGUAACACGUGGAUAACCUACCUAUAAGACUGGGAUAACUUCGGGAAACCGGAGCUAAUACCGGAUAAUAUUUUGAACCGCAUGGUUCAAAAGUAAAAGACGGUCUUGCUGUCACUUAUAGAUGGAUCCGCGCUGCAUUAGCUAGUUGGUAAGGUAACGGCUUACCAAGGCAACGAUGCAUAGCCGACCUGAGAGGGUGAUCGGCCACACUGGAACUGAGACACGGUCCAGACUCCUACGGGAGGCAGCAGUAGGGAAUCUUCCGCAAUGGGCGAAAGCCUGACGGAGCAACGCCGCGUGAGUGAUGAAGGUCUUCGGAUCGUAAAACUCUGUUAUUAGGGAAGAACAUAUGUGUAAGUAACUGUGCACAUCUUGACGGUACCUAAUCAGAAAGCCACGGCUAACUACGUGCCAGCAGCCGCGGUAAUACGUAGGUGGCAAGCGUUAUCCGGAAUUAUUGGGCGUAAAGCGCGCGUAGGCGGUUUUUUAAGUCUGAUGUGAAAGCCCACGGCUCAACCGUGGAGGGUCAUUGGAAACUGGAAAACUUGAGUGCAGAAGAGGAAAGUGGAAUUCCAUGUGUAGCGGUGAAAUGCGCAGAGAUAUGGAGGAACACCAGUGGCGAAGGCGACUUUCUGGUCUGUAACUGACGCUGAUGUGCGAAAGCGUGGGGAUCAAACAGGAUUAGAUACCCUGGUAGUCCACGCCGUAAACGAUGAGUGCUAAGUGUUAGGGGGUUUCCGCCCCUUAGUGCUGCAGCUAACGCAUUAAGCACUCCGCCUGGGGAGUACGACCGCAAGGUUGAAACUCAAAGGAAUUGACGGGGACCCGCACAAGCGGUGGAGCAUGUGGUUUAAUUCGAAGCAACGCGAAGAACCUUACCAAAUCUUGACAUCCUUUGACAACUCUAGAGAUAGAGCCUUCCCCUUCGGGGGACAAAGUGACAGGUGGUGCAUGGUUGUCGUCAGCUCGUGUCGUGAGAUGUUGGGUUAAGUCCCGCAACGAGCGCAACCCUUAAGCUUAGUUGCCAUCAUUAAGUUGGGCACUCUAAGUUGACUGCCGGUGACAAACCGGAGGAAGGUGGGGAUGACGUCAAAUCAUCAUGCCCCUUAUGAUUUGGGCUACACACGUGCUACAAUGGACAAUACAAAGGGCAGCGAAACCGCGAGGUCAAGCAAAUCCCAUAAAGUUGUUCUCAGUUCGGAUUGUAGUCUGCAACUCGACUACAUGAAGCUGGAAUCGCUAGUAAUAGUAGAUCAGCAUGCUACGGAGAAUAAGUUCCCGGGUGU